AGCAGCCGCGGUAAUUCCAGCUCCAAUAGCGUAUAUUAAAGUUGUUGCAGUUAAAGAGCUCGUAGUUGAAUUUCGGGGUUAGUAAGUUGGUCGUGCCACUGGUAUGUACUGCCUUACUGGCCCCACCUUCUUGUAGAACCGUAAUGCCAUUAAUUUGGUGUUGCGGGGAAACAGGACUGUUACUUUGAAAAAAUUAGAGUGUUUAAAGACAGGCUAACGCCUGAAUACAUUAGCAUGGAAUAAUGAAAUAGGACGAUCGAUCCUAUUUUGUUGGUUUCUAGGAUUGACGUAAUGAUUAAUAGGGAUAGUUGGGGGCGAUUAGUAUUCAAUUGUCAGAGGUGAAAUUCUUGGAUUUAUUGAAGACUAACUACUGCGAAAGCAUUUGCCAAGGAUGUUUUCAUUAAUCAAGAACGAAAGUUAGGGGAUCGAAGACGAUCAGAUACCGUCGUA
rnacentral:rRNA from 1 species